GUGAAAUUCAUAAAACAGUAUACGAAAGCAAUAAAAUUAUCAUCAUCAUGAAAUCAUAUAUAAACUGUAUAACAUAAUACUUAUCACGCCUUUUGUAAUUCAAUCAUUACACAACAUAUUUUCCUCAUUUACCAGCCUACUAGUAUCCAUGGGGAUCUAUAGGGGUCCCGCUACCCGUUAACCCUUAACACUUGAAACCAGAUUCCAGGGCCGUCCCCAUACCACGUCCGGUAUAGGCGCCAAAACACAUAAGGUCUCC
rnacentral:lncRNA from 1 species